UAAUAAGUUAUUGUUAUAUAUAACUAAUUUUUGGUUUAUACUAUUGAUAUAUAAAUCGUUAUCAUAUUUAUAGAUAAUUAUUAAAUAUAUUAUUUUUUUAUAAAAAGCGAUAUUUAUUUAUUCGCAGUAUUUAUUUUUAUAUAUUAAGUAAUUUUAGAUUUAGAAAUUUAUUUUAUUAUUAACAAAUUUUGUGCCAGCAGUUGCGGUUAUACAACAAAUGAAAUUGAAUUAUAUUAGUAUAUAAUUAAAUGAUUAUGUUUAAAUUAAGGAUUUAUUUAUUAGAUGAAAUUUUAAUUAAAUUAAUAAUUUAUAUUUUAUUAUUUGAGGUUAUUAAAUUUAUUAUUAAACUAGGAUUAGAUACCCUAUUAUUUUAAAUGUAAUUUAUUUAUACUUAAUUAUUAUUAGUUAAGUUCUUCAAAAUUAAAAGUUUUGGCGGUAUUUUAAUCUUUUUAGAGGAACCUGUUCUGUAAUUGAUAUCCCACGAUAAGUUAAACUUUUUCUUAAUUUGUAUAUCGUUGUUUGAAAAAAAUUUUAUUAGAAUUUUAAUUUUUGUAAUUAAUAUUAAUUAAAUAAAUCAGAUCAAGACAUAGUUUAUGGAAAAGUAGAAAUGGGUUACAAUAAUUUUAUUUAUUUAAGGAUAAAAAAUUUAAAUGUUUUUUUGAAUGUGGAUUUAAAAGUAAUCUUAUUUAUUUAAUAUGAUGAUUAAAGUUUUGAAAUAUGCACAUAUCGCCCGUCGCUCUUUUUACAAAGAAAGAUAAGUCGUAACAUAGUAGGCGUACUGGAAAGUGUGCCUAGAAAGUC
rnacentral:ncRNA from 1 species